AUACGGAGGAUCCGAGCGUUAUCCGGAUUUAUUGGGUUUAAAGGGUGCGCAGGCGGCCAUUUAAGUCAGCGGUUAAAUCGUGGGGCUCAACCCCAUUCUGCCGUUGAUACUGGGUGGCUUGAUUGCGGUCGAGGUUGGCGGAAUUCGUUGUGUAGCGGUGAAAUGCAUAGAUAUGACGAAGAACACCGAUUGCGUAGGCAGCUGACCAGACCGCAAAUGACGCUCAUGCACGAAAGUGCGGGGAUCGAACAGGAUUAGAUACCCUGGUAGUCCGCACAGUAAACGAUGAAUACUUGUUUUCGGCGAUAUAAUGUCGGAGGCAAAGCGAAAGCGAUAAGUAUUCCACCUGGGGAGUAUGCCGGCAACGGUGAAACUCAAAGGAAUUGACGGGG
rnacentral:rRNA from 1 species